CAGCCAUGGCACUAGCGAGCAGGGUCAUCAGAGCUGCUCCAUUCUUCUGGAAGCUGCAGAGAAAGGGAGCCCGGAAACCUGGUAUGCCGGCAAAAAGGAUGGAGUUUCACUCUUGUACUCUUGUCGCCCAGGCUGGAGUGCAAUGACACGAUCUUGGCUGACUGCAACCUCUGCCUCCCGGGUUCAAGCAAUUCUCCUGCCUCAGCCUCCUGAGCAGAUGGGAUUACAGUUUAUAAUCAGGUAUAAGUCUCUUGGGGAAUCUGACCUCAUACCUCAUCUAUGCAGUUCCUGUACAAGGUUCCUGACCUGUGGUCUUUAGAUAAACUCUUUCAACCAACUGCCAAUCAGAAAAUCUGUGAAUCUGCCUGUGAUCUGGAAGCCUCUGCUUCCUGGUGUGCCACCUUUCCCGUCUGAACUGAUGUACAGCUUAAAUGUAUUGAUUGAUGCCUUAUGCCCUAUAGCAUGUAUAAAACCUAGCUGUGCCCUGAUCACCUGGGUCACACGUUCUCCGGGUCUCCUGAGGACUGUGUCACGGGCUGUGGUCACUCACGUUUGGCUCGAAAUAAAUCUCUCCAAUAUUUU
rnacentral:lncRNA from 10 species